AGCCCUUGACAGGGUCCUAGAGUCCUCCCAUCUCCUUCCCAAAGCUGGGAAAGCACCAACUAGGCUUUGGGAAGGAGGUGGGAGGACUCUAGGACCCUCUCAAGUCGUCACACCUC